rnacentral:rRNA from 1 species
GACGAACCCACACGAACGUUAUUCGGAAUUACUGGGCUUAAAGGGUGCGUAGGCUGUGCGGAAAGUUAGGUGUGAAAUCCCCCGGCUCAACCGGGGAAUUGCGCUUAAAACUACCGUGCUAGAGGAAGACAGAGGUGAGCGGAACUUCGGGUGGAGCGGUGAAAUGCGUUGAUAUCCGAAGGAACACCGGUGGCGAAAGCGGCUCACUGGGUCUUUUCUGACGCUGAUGCACGAAAGCUAGGGGAGCAAACGGGAUUAGAUACCCCGGUAGU